rnacentral:lncRNA from 1 species
UUUAAUUUUCAAAAACCGUUUUCUUUUAGUUUAUUUUAUUUUGUCACUUUAUUUAAUUAUUUUCUAUUAAAUUCGUUUUUAUUAUUUAAAUCACAAAAUCACAUUUUUCUCAAACUUUGUUUUAAAUAAUUAAUUAAGAUUUGAUUUAACAUAAAUUAUUCAUUUAAUCCCUGAAGAGAACGACCUUACUAGAAUCAUCUAUACUACAAUUACCUUGUACUCUUUCAAGUAUUUAAAGUAUUUUAUCCUUAUUUUUACUGGUGGUAAAAAUCCCUAUCAUUUCCCUAUCCACAUGACUUUUCUUUUGGAGGAAAGAAAAGUUAUAUAACAACGUCCGAAAAUAAAAUGACAUUUGAUUAGUUCCAAAAUUGUUUAUAACUUUAGCUAUUAACGGAUACACAAUGUAUAAUUAUUGAAUUACAACUGGACAAGUGCAUAUAGACAGUGCAUUUCAUAUCAACUCACUCGUGCCUAUGAUUUACAAAUUAUAAAUUAACUAGACUACAAAGAAAGACCUGCAGCUGCGUAAAUGUAAUGUCACGCUUCAAUGAACAAUUGAACAUAAUGUCACAAAGCACAAUACCUACGCUACGACAAUGGCUCUCUCUCUCUCUCUCUCUCUCUCUCUCUCUCUCUCUCU